AACGAACGCUGGCGGCAGGCCUAACACAUGCAAGUCGAACGCUGCAGCAAUGCAGAGUGGCAGACGGGUGAGUAACGCGUGGGAACCUUCCCAAUGGUACGGAAUAGCCCAGGGAAACUUGGGGUAAUACCGGAUAAGCGCCAUGGGGGAAAGAUUUAUCGCCAUUGGAUGGGCCCGCGUCGGAUUAGCUAGUUGGUGAGGUAACGGCUCACCAAGGCGACGAUCCGUAGCUGGUUUGAGAGAAUGACCAGCCACACUGGGACUGAGACACGGCCCAGACUCCUACGGGAGGCAGCAGUGGGGAAUCUUGGACAAUGGGCGAAAGCCUGAUCCAGCCAUGCCGCGUGAGUGACGAAGGCCUUAGGGUUGUAAAGCUCUUUUGGCGGGGACGAUAAUGACGGUACCCGCAGAAUAAGUCCCGGCUAACUUCGUGCCAGCAGCCGCGGUAA
rnacentral:rRNA from 1 species